AACGAACGCUGGCGGCGUGCCUAAACAUGCAAGUCGAACGUGAAAACGGGCUUCGGCCCGUCGGUAGCGUGGCAGACGGGUGAGUAACACGUGGGUAACCUACCCGGAGAUGGGGGAUAACCUUUCGAAAGGAAGGCUAAUACCGCAUAACAUCCUGAGGCCCUCGGUCCUCGGGAUCAAAGCUAGCCUCUACAUGUAAGCUGGCGUCACCGGAGGGGCCCGCGCCCCAUUAGCUUGUUGGUGAGGUAACGGCUCACCAAGGCCACGAUGGGUAGCCGGCCUGAGAGGGCGAUCGGCCACACU
rnacentral:rRNA from 1 species